GACGAACGCUGGCGGCGUGCUUAACACAUGCAAGUCGAACGGAAAGGCCCCCUUGUGGGGUACUCGCGUGGCGAACGGGUGAGUAACACGUGAGUAACCUACCCUUGACUUUGGGAUAACUUCAGGAAACUGGGGCUAAUACCGGAUAGGAGAUACUGCUGCAUGGCGGGGGCUGGAAAGUUUCGGCGGUUGGGGAUGGACUCGCGGCUUAUCAGCUUGUUGGUGGGGUAGUGGCUCACCAAGGUUUUGACGGGUAGCCGGCCUGAGAGGGUGACCGGCCACAUUGGGACUGAGAUACGGGCCAGACUCCUACGGGAGGCAGCAGUGGGGAAUAUUGCACGAUGGGCGGAAGCCUUAUGCAGCAACGCCGCGUGCGAGAUGACGGCCUUCGGGUUGUAAACCGCUUUCGCCUGUGACGAAGCGUGAGUGACGGUAAUGGGUAAAGAAGCACCGGCUAACUACGUG
rnacentral:rRNA from 1 species